rnacentral:rRNA from 1 species
GAGUUUGAUCCUGGCUCAGGAUGAACGCUAGCGACAGGCCUAACACAUGCAAGUCGAGGGGUAACAUGAGUGCUUGCACUUGAUGACGACCGGCGCACGGGUGCGUAACGCGUAUGCAACUUACCUUGUACUGGGGAAUAGCCCGUGGAAACGCGGAUUAAUGUCCCAUAACACUACAAUUUCGCAUGGAAAAGUGGUUAAAGUUCCGACGGUACAAGAUGGGCAUGCGUGACAUUAGCUAGUUGGUGAGGUAAUGGCUCACCAAGGCGACGAUGUCUAGGGGUUCUGAGAGGAAGGUCCCCCACACUGGUACUGAGACACGGACCAGACUCCUACGGGAGGCAGCAGUGAGGAAUAUUGGUCAAUGGGCGCAAGCCUGAACCAGCCAUGUCGCGUGCAGGAAGACUGCCCUACGGGUUGUAAACUGCUUUUGUAUGGGAAGAAACGUUGGUACGUGUACCAAUUUGCCGGUACCAUACGAAUAAGGAUCGGCUAACUCCGUGCCAGCAGCCGCGGUAAUACGGAGGAUCCAAGCGUUAUCCGGAUUUAUUGGGUCUAAAGGGUGCGUAGGCGGUAGAAUAAGUCAGUGGUGAAAUCCUGCAGCUUAACUGUAGAACUGCCAUUGAUACUGUUUUACUUGAGUGUAAUUGAGGUAGGCGGAAUGUGUUGUGUAGCGGUGAAAUGCAUAGAUAUAACACAGAACACCGAUUGCGAAGGCAGCUUACUAAGUUAUAACUGACGCUGAUGCACGAAAGCGUGGGUAGCGAACAGGAUUAGAUACCCUGGUAGUCCACGCCGUAAACGAUGAUUACUCGCUGUAGGCAAUACACCGUCUGUGGCUGAGCGAAAGCAUUAAGUAAUCCACCUGGGGAGUACGUUGGCAACAAUGAAACUCAAAGGAAUUGACGGGGGCCCGCACAAGCGGAGGAACAUGUGGUUUAAUUCGAUGAUACGCGAGGAACCUUACCUGGACUUAAAUGUAGAUUGACGUAUCCAGAGAUGGAUAUUUCUUCGGACAAUUUACAAGGUGCUGCAUGGUUGUCGUCAGCUCGUGCCGUGAGGUGUCGGGUUAAGUCCCAUAACGAGCGCAACCCCUGUUGUUAGUUACCAGCACAUCAUGGUGGGGACUCUAACAAGACUGCCGGUGUAAACCGCGAGGAAGGUGGGGAUGACGUCAAAUCAGCACGGCCCUUACGUCCAGGGCUACACACGUGUUACAAUGGCCGGUACAGAGGGCAGCUACUUGGUGACAAGAUGCGAAUCUCAAAAACCGGUCUCAGUUCGGAUCGAAGUCUGCAACCCGACUUCGUGAAGCUGGAUUCGCUAGUAAUCGCAUAUCAGCCAUGAUGCGGUGAAUACGUUCCCGGGCCUUGUACACACCGCCCGUCAAACCAUGG